UGUUUCAUUUAGAUUUAAGAUCACCGGCGUAGCGCCUUUUCAACCUUUUCAACGACUUCCCUAAUCGCUUCGUAUUACUAUUUCAUAAAUUGUACCCUUCUUUUGGAAUAUUCCAUAAUGAAUUUAUGAUACAUUUUCUCUUCAUGGAAUUGCUGGAGUCGACGCAGAUUUUAGAAACCUCUGACAAAACCCUGCCAGAUCUCAACGACAAAGUGGCAGCAGUGCUGACCAUCAAAGAUGAGAAACAUAACAUUUUUUACACUGAAAAUUCCAUUGGAAGGGAUUCAAGUUGCAACAUUGUUAUCGUCGACAAGACAAUAUCUGCUAGGCAUGCAGUCAUUGAAGUCGAGGAUAAAGAUUCACAUUUUAUCUAUGAUUUGAACAGUUCAAAUAAGACAAAACUUGGAAAGACAUUUCUGAAACCAAACGUAAGGUAUUUAGUUCAUGAUGGUGAUGAGUUGUUAUUUGCAAAUAUAAAAGCAAUUUAUACUUAUGCAAAAGAUUCCAACAAAACUGCUGAUUUAGAAGAUGACACUACACAGUUGAUUUGUAUUCCUGAGACUCCAGAGAAGGAUGAUAGCAAAAUUAUUAUUGCAGAAACACCUGCCAGGAAAGGAUCACCUGAUGAAUGCGAAGAUUCAGAUGUUGAUUUAUUUCAAGAAUCUCCUCCUCCAAGUGCCAUAAAAAUACAAGACAGUACAUUUUUUAACCCAGAAGACAAAGGGAGAAAACAAGGUUGUCUUUCCAUCUAUGAUAUCGCAACACAAAGUAUCAUACAAGGCGAAGAGCAUGAGCAAAUCGAAGAGACAGCAUACUCAAACAUUGAUGAUACCAUGACAGAGGAUUUUGCAAAGGUAGGCUUUCAUAAAAGAAUUGACAGUACACGCUUUAAAGAAGGAAGAUCGGAUGUACCAAAAACAAACAUUUACAUGGAAGAGACUGAAGAAUUUGCAAUUGAGAAAAUUUCUAAAAAACUAAGUUUAUUUGAUGAAUCAGAAAGGGAAAAUGAAAAGAAACUGAAUUUAAUAAAUAGUAGUAGGACAGAACAAGCUUGUCAAAAUGUAACUAAUAACAAAGAAACAAGUUUAUCUGACGCUAAAAAAAUAAAUGAACCAAAAGUUAAAGAAGAACCAAUAGAAAACAAGAAUUCACAGGAUUGUGAGUUAAUUUUGUCAGAGUGCAUAGAAUUUAAUAAUCAUAACAUUCAAAGAAAAAUCGACAAUUUAGAUAUUAGCGUAGGAUCAACAACUUCAAAACUUCACGGACUUUCUAUCAUGGAUAACAGAAAUUCAUUUGAGCCAAAUGAUAAGGAAAACUCGAUUGAUGAUCUAUUCAUCCCAUCUCAAGAAUUUCCAAGAAAAGAUGAGUGUACGGAAAAAUUUCAAUUACACAUGUCUGAAAGUUUUUUUAUCUGUACUUCUCAUGAGAAAAUGGUUAGUGAAAACAAUUUAAAAAGUGAACAAUUGGUAAAAGGACAAUUUAAAGACACACCUUCUGUCUUUACUAUAACUGUCCAAGAUGAACCUAUUCAGAGCCAAAAUUUUGAAAUUAAAGAUCGAGGAGAUGAUGAAAUCAGGGACACUAAGAUUGGUGAAAAAAUUCCCGAAUUGUGUGAAGAGAAAAGCUUUGUUAACAAAGCAUUGGUCGAAACAGUAAUUUCAGAGAAAAAGGACAGUUUUCAAUCUAAUGCCAAUAAUACACUCAGUCAGUAUGUAAAUAGUUUAAUAGAAAAAGACAUAAACAAUGUAUUUUCUGAAGAAUUAUUCCAAAAUUCUCAACAGUUUUGUCUUGUGAAAGAUAUAAUUGAAAAUGAAGCUCAGAGUACAGAAGAUAUAGUUGUUGAAACUUUCGAUAAUGACAAGCUUCAAAUAGGAAUCAAAUCCACAAUAAAACAGGAAGUAACAACCAAAUGUCUCAAAUUCGAUGAUAGUUCAUUGGAUGUUUUUGGAAGUCAGAAUAGCGCAGGUUCGCAAAGAAAGGUUGAUAAAUUCAAAUCUGAUUAUCAGGAAAAAGGAUCAGAAGAGAACACUUUUAAUGUUGAGACAAAGAAAAAAGAAGUGUCAACGGCUAGUGUUACAGAAGAGGACACAUCUUUAGAAGAGUUUGAAGGCUUUGAGGAGGGCAUUGCAAAAAUUAAUAAUACAAAUAGUUUUAGGAUUAUGAGUGAAAUUAAUAAUAUUCCUUUUAAUUCCAUCUCUAAUGAACAAUCUACUAUUAAAGAUCAAAUUAUAAAUGAAUUACAAAAGGAAAACAGUGAGGAAUGUUUCAAUGGAAAAAGUAAUGAAGUCCAUUCAGCUCAAGCUGAUAAAAGCAGAGAAUCAAUGUGUUUUGAAGAAAAAGAACCAGAUCUUUUAAAAAAUAAGAAAGGUGCUGAAAAUCAUAUGCUUGAAGAUGAUAAAGAGUUAAGCCUCACAUUUUCCGUUUGUUCAAAAUACGAUGAAAACAAAAGAGAAGUCGGGAAGGCAGGUCUUAAUGAAUCAAAAGUUGAAGAGGCAAAUUGUCCAGUCUCGGAUAUUAUAGAUAUUCCCAAAAUCAGCGAAACUGAGGAUCUGAACAAUAAAAAUGAUGCAAUCCGUCAAUCAAAUUGUUUUGAAGAAGAGACAAGUGAUUCAAAAAUUACUGAAAAUCAAAUGCUUGAAGAUGAAAAAGUGUUGAGCCUCCCUUUUUCAGUUUGUACAAAAUCUGAUGAAAACAAGAGAGAAGUUGAGGCAAGUCUUUAUCAAUCAAAAGUUGAAGAAGUAAAUUGUUCAAUCUCGGAUAAUAUAGAAAUUCCCAAAUGUAGUGAAAUUGAGGGUCUGAACAAUACAAAUACAAAUGAAAAAAAUGAAGGAGAUGAAAAGCCGAUCGAAAUAAAAACUUCCAUAAAGGCAAAUGAUUUUGAAACAAGUGAAAAAAGUAUUGACAAACAAAUUACUGAUACAAAAAAAAUCUUUGAUAAUGAGAAUGUGACCAAACUUAAAAAUAGUGAGCUUGAUGGAGUCAUCCUUGAUGAAAAUACAAUACAAAUUCAAAAUUUUGAUAAAGUAACUACAGUUGAAAGUUGUGAUGAAUUUAAAAAUGAAGAUGAGAAUUCUUUAGAUGAAGACUUUGAAGGUUUCGAUUCAUGUGAGAAACAAAAACAAAGAAUACCAACUUCAGUUUUGCAGACUACAACUACAAAUGAUUAUUUUAAACAUUAUAGUAUAAUGGCAACUGAAUAUUUUUCACAAACUCCGAGAAGAAACAUAUGCAAUAUUCUCACCCAAGAACUUAUUUGUAAAUCAAGAGAUUCAGACUGUGAUGAUGAUUUUGACUCCCAGAUUCUGGCUCAUGAAACGGAAGGAAUAAAAGUUGAUUUAAAUGAAUUGUCUGCUGAUCCUUCCAAUGUCUUUCCUUCUACAAACACUGAGUUUAAAGAUCCUUUUGAUCAUGUGCAAAACAAAGCCACAAGUUUUCCAAAUAAAUCUGUAGUCCGUAGUAAUAUACCUGAAAAUAAUAUCUGCACAGAAAGUUGUGUUGAUCUAAAAUCCAGUGGUAUUCAAGAAUUAAAACAGCCCCCGAAAAAUGCAGAAUUAAAACAAAAAUUAGAACCUAGUGUUUCUGUUAUAGACGAUCAAAUUAUUAACAUACAGGACAUGGGGAAAUCAGACUGUGGAAAGAAAUUAACAGUAGAAACUGGCAUUCCUGAUUUAUGCACAGAAGUCGUAAAUGUACAGGAUUUGAAAAACACUUUGAAAAUAAAUGAGCCCAAUGAUUUGGAAAUGAGUAUUUAUGACAUGAGCACCCAAUUUGAAGAUUUCCAGUGCUUACAAAAAUCUGAUGAAGAUACUAAAGUUGUUGAAGAAUGUAAGGUGAGUAAUUCUAACUCAUGCACACAACCUGCCAACUUACAUAAAACAAAACCAAUAAAUGAGAUUAACACUGAGGUGACUACUAGUUCAAAUACCAAAGAAGUUAAUGUACACCCUUUAGAGAAAUUAUCUGGAAAUAUGAAUGUUUUUGAUUUGGAAUCCAGUGUUUAUAAUGUAUGUACUCAACCAUUUGAAAUUGAGCUGUUGAAAACCAGUACUUAUGAUUUACAAACUGAAUUGGUCAGUGCUCAGAUUUUGAUGAAAUCAUCAGAGAAUAGAAAUGUUUCUGAUGAUUUGGAAACCAGUAUGUCCAAAUUAUGUGCACAACCUGUCAAUAUUCAGAGUUUAAGAAAAUCACCAUCACUUGAUACAAAACCUGUCGAUGACUUAGAAGCUAGUAUUUCUAACCUAUGCACACAACCAGUCAACUUACAAAGUUUGGAGAACUCCGGCAUAAAACCUGUCGAUGACUUAGAAGCUAGUAUUUCUAAUCCAAGCACACAACCUGUCAAUUUACAGAAUUUGAAGAAAUUACCAUCACAUGAUACAAAACCUGUCGAUGACUUAGAAGCUAGUAUUUCUAACCUAUGCACGCAACCUGUCAACUUACAGAAUUUGAAGAAAUUGUCAUCAUAUGAUACUAAACCUGUCGAUGACUUAGAAGCCAGUAUUUCUAACCUGUACACACAACCUGUCAACUUACAGAAUUUGAAGAAAUUGUCAUCACAUGAUACUAAACCUGUCGAUGACUUAGAAGCCAGUAUUUCUAACCUAUGCACACAACCUGUCAACUUACAGAAUUUAAAGAAAUUGUCAUCACUUGAUACUAAACCUUUCGAUGACUUAGAAGCUAGUAUUUCUAACAUAUGCACCCAACCUGUCAACUUACAGAAUGUGAAGAAAUUGUCAUCACACAAUACUAAACCUGUUGAUGACUUAGAAGCCAGUAUUUCUAACCUGUGCACCCAACCUGUCAACUUACAGAAUGUGAAGAAAUUGUCAUCACACAAUACUAAACCUGUUGAUGACUUAGAAGCCAGUAUUUCUAACCUGUGCACACAACCUGUCAACUUGCAGAAUUUGAAGAAAUCGUCAGCACAGGAUAUGAAAAUUAUUGAUGACUUAGAAGCUAGUAUUUCUAAUCUAAGUACACAACCUGUAAAUUUACAGAAUUUAAAAAAAUUGUCAUCUGACAAUAUGCAUGCAUUUGAUGUCUUGGAAGUUAGUAUUUCUGAUAUUUGCACUCAGCCUGUCAACAUAGAAAAUUUAAUUAAAACAAAUUUGAAAACUAGGACUGACAAUAAGAACGAUUUAGACUCUGAAUUUGCAAAUACACAGAACUCCGAGAAAUCCUUUGGAAAUAUGAAGGUUUCUGAUCACUUGGAAGCCAGUAUUUCUAGUAUGUCCACACAACCUGUCAACUUACAAAAUUUAAGAAAAUCAUCAGAGAAUAAAAAAGUUUGUAACAACAUGGAAAAUACAACUAUUUCUGACUUAUGCACGCAACCAGAAAAUAUUCAAACUUUACAGAUAACAUCAAAAAAUAAGACAGUCUCUGAUGUUUUGGAUGUCUCUAUUUCCAAUAUUUGCACACAACCCGUAAAUUUACAGAAUUUAAAAAAACUCUCAGAUAAAGUGCAAUCGAAUGAGAAGGCCGAUAUAUCUGACAUGUCUGUUCAGUUUGUAAAUCAACAAUCAUCACCAAAAAUAACCAAAAUCUUUGAAACCACUAUAUCUGAUAUGUGUACCGCCGAGAUGGUCAACCAUGUUAUUUCUAGAGCUAACCAUUUUUACACAAGCACUCCAAAACCAGUGCACAAUAUUCAGUUAAGGGACAAAAAAUGCAAUAAAGCAAUUGCCGAACAAAGAGAUGAUUCUGUAGAAACUUGCAAACUGCCAGCAGUUGAAAAACAUUUCAAUGUCAAAACAAACUGUAAAAAUUCUUCCCGAGAAAAACUCUUGGAUGUUAAACUUGAACUAAAUAAAAUGGGUGAAAAUUGUAAUGGUCCAUCAGUUCUCAUAAACGUACCAGUGCAACGGACUACAAAUAAUUCUAUUAAAAAAUUUGAUCCGGAUAUGGAUGAAGACAGCGAUGUCAUUGAGAGCAGGAAAACAAAAGUUUAUAAUCUAUCCAGUGAUUCUGAGGAUGAUUCUCCACUAUCUUUUAUUCCUUCUAAAAGGCCAAAACUCUUUUUAAACAAUGAAGAUGAAGGAGAAGAAAAAAAUAAAGUCAAAAGAACAAAUGAUUACAAUGACAUAAAAACGAUGGACGAGUUACAUGGAGCUCCAAUAUCUUUCUUCAAAAAGAAAAAAACUUUUCAGAUUGAAAUUAAACAAGAAUCUGUAUCACCAGGUAAAAACAUUUCAAGCUAUAGAACUGUUAGCAUGGAAGAAACCAAUCCCGUACACUGUAAUACUUCAUUGGAAGGCACCGUUUGUAGUAUGGAAGAAACUUUAAUCUCGACAAAGCCUGUGUGUCAAAAAACUUUCAAGAAAUUUACAAGAAAACAAUUUCCAUUGACUAAAAUCCAAGAAGAAUGUUCUGACUCAUUGAAAGGCAUAGAAAGUAAUGAUAAUGUGGUCGAUAAAGAUCUUGGAAGAGGUAAACGUUCGCGAGUAUUGAAGAACUUUUCAGAUUUCGAAACUGAGCAGAGUCUUAAAGUCAUUCCAGCUGAUAAAAGUUCAGUGUGUCUCCCUCUUCCCAAAAAAAGAAAACUUGAAACUGCUAAAGAAACAACUGACAUUUCAAGUUCAUCUAGUGGUAUAAAACAAAUGGAAUUGAUUGUAGAAAAACCAAAAAAGCGUUCUGCUAAAAAGGAAAAAACAGACCUGACUAAUGAAAAUGCGAAAACUGAUAAAGUUUCUUUAAAAUCAACACUGCCAGAAAUUGUGUGCACCCAAGAUCUUGUAAAAAACAAUUCUUUGAAAAAGACAGAAGAAAAUGAUGUCUCAUUAAAUAAAAGUUCACCAAAAGGUAAAGUAUUUAAAAAAAAUAAAAUAUUAAAACAAAAUGCUACUUCAAGUGUUGAUACACAAAAUAAACAUCCUGGAAAUGUACUCGAUGAUGUAAAGGCUGAGAAUUCUUCCAAAGAGAACUUGAACAAAUGUUCAGCUGAUUCCCAAAGCCUAAAUAAAAGAGGAAGAAAUAUUAGAAAAAAACCAGAGGUGAAAGAAGCUAUAAAUGUUGAACAGGUAAAUGUGAAUGAACACGAAAAGAUGCAAAUAGAAGAUCUUCCAUUGGGAAGGAGUCUGAGAAGUAAAAGGACACAACCAGAAAACAAAAACCUUCCAGAAAAGAAAGUAAAGAAUAUAAGGAACUUAAAACAGAAGAAACCUGACUCUGAGGAAGUUUUAAAUCAAAAGCCUCUUGGCUCAAGCACAAGUUCAUUGAAUAUUGAACACUCUAAGAAAAAUGAAGAAGUGAAAUGUAACAAAAGAACAAAAAAGGGUAUAAGUAAAAAGGAAACUAAGAAAGUUACAAAUAAUUCUGCCGAAACUGCCUAUUUAGCCGGCUCUACUACUGGUUCAUCUGAAAACCACACUUCUCUUGAUUUAGAACAACACAAUUUUGCAACGGCGAAAAAGUCACCGAAGAAUAAUAAAAAAACUAGAAAAAUAAAAAAUGCUGAUCCUUCAAUUUCCUCUGGAUCAACUCAAACAAGUCUUAGCAAGACUUUCGAUGAACCUUUUAGAAUUAUGUUCGCUGGAUAUUCAGACCCAACUAUGUUAGCUCUUAUUGAGCGUUUAAAUGGGGAGGUUGUGGAGAAUGCUCUCACUUGUACAAUUGUUGUUGCUGACAAAGUGAAAAAGACUACAAAGUUCUUGUGUGGCCUUGCUCUAGGCCGUCCGAUCGUACCUCCAAAAUGGCUGCAAGGCUGUGAAGAUUCUGAUUAUUUUAUUGAUCCUUUUAAACACAUUCUUCUAGAUAACGAGACUGAAGAAAAGUAUUCAUUCCAUCUCAGUGAAAGCAUAAACAAGGCUAAGCAUUCAAAACUUCUUGAAAGUUGGUCUGUUUAUGCAACCCCUUCAACUAAGCCACCUCCAAUAGAAAUAAAAAGCAUCAUAGAGUGCAGUGGAGGGAAAUUCUUGCAAAAGGAGCCGGCGCGAUGGCCGAAAAACAGUUUUGUCAUUUCAUGCAUUGAGGAUAAAGAAAAGUGGGCCAAGUUGAAAAAGCGCGGUACGAUUCCGCCUAUCGUCUCAACAGAAGUCCUUCUAACUGGUGUUCUACAGCAGACGUUGGACCUGACCAGCCAUGCUUUGAAAUUAUAAAAUAUACCUCUGAGCCUGUGGAGGAUAAAGAAUUCAUUCAUCAGUUAACCUACCAGUACAAGUAUAUUAUAUCAUUAUGUGGUGGUUGUGGAAACACUCUUCACUUGAACUGUUGUGGUUUCUGACAAAGUGAAAAGGGAUAUGAAGUCCAUGUGCGUUACUUGUUCUAGGCCAUCCGAUCGUACUUUCAAAGUGCAAGGAUAACAAGAUCCUUAUUUAUUGACCCUUUUAAACACCUGUCGGACAGAGGUAAAAGAGGUUUGUUCUUUCUCGGUGAAAGGAUAAACAAGGCCUAUAAUUCAUCUUCCUUAAGUUUGGCCUGUUUAUUCAAUAAAUCUACAAUUUUAUAAUUUUCAAAUAACGGAUUUUCAAAUAUAAAAAUCCAUUUUUAAAAAGAUAUGUACAUGAUAUUAUAGCAAGAUUAAAAAAUUUUGGUACAUAAUUAAUCCGAACAUAUCAACUUGCUUUACCAAUAUAAUAUAAGGUUAAUUUUAUUUUUAUGCUGCCAUUAUUUUAAUAUAUUAAAGUUAUGUUUAACAUUUACCAGUUAAAAAGUUUUCU